rnacentral:rRNA from 1 species
UAAACUUCGAUAGCCCCCCACCUGCGCUAUCCGCCCGGGUACUACAAGCGCCAGCUUAAAACCCAAAGGACUUGGCGGUGCUUUAGACCCACUUAGAGGAGCCUGUUCUGGAACUGAUACCCCCCGCUAAACCUUACCCCCUCUUGCCCCUUCCGCCUAUAUACCGCCGUCGUCAGCUUACCCUGUGAAGGCACCCCAUAGUUAGCAAGACUAGUAUAGCCCAAAACGUCAGGUCGAGGUGUAGCAUAUGAGAGGGAAAGAAAUGGGCUACAUUCCUUAUCUAAGGAACAACGAAUAAUGCGUUGAAACACAUAUUUGAAGGAGGAUUUAACAGUAAGCGGAAAACAGAGUGUUCCGCUGAAACUGGCCCUGAAGCACGCACACACCGCCCGUCACUCUCCCCAAGCUACUUUUUAAAAAUUCUUAAACCCACAACAAUGCCCAAGGGGAGGCAAGUCGUAACAUGGUAAGUGUACCGGAAGGUGCACUUGGCUAAAU